AUGCCGAUCGCCGGCUGCUUCUGCUUCGGCGGGAAAGGGAAGGCGGGCGGCGGUGCUGCCGCCAGGGCCGCGCGCCCGCGCUACGUGCCCAAGAGGGGCAAGGUGUUCCGGGCCGUGCUGGGCGCGCUGGUCAGCUGCUACCGCCCCGCCAGGACCGGGCCUCUGCCGCGCUGA
rnacentral:rRNA from 1 species